rnacentral:rRNA from 1 species
UACGGAGGGCGCGAGCGUAACCCGGAUUUACUGGGCGUAAAGGGCGUGUAGGCGGCCUGGGGCGUCCCAUGUGAAAGGCCGCGGCUCAACCGUGGAGGAGCGUGGGAUACGCUCAGGCUAGACGGUGGGAGAGGGUGGUGGAAUUCCCGGAGUAGCGGUGAAAUGCGCAGAUACCGGGAGGAACGCCGAUGGCGAAGGCAGCCACCUGUUCCGCAUGUGACGCUGAGGCGCGUAAGCGUGGGGAGCAAACCGG